AGGACGAACGCUGGCGGCGUGCUUAACGACAUGCAAGUCGAGCGGAAAGGCCCUUCGGGGUACUCGAGCGGCGAACGGGUGAGUAACACGUGAGUAAUCUGCCCCUAGCUCUGGGAUAGCUCCGGGAAACCGGGAUUAAUACUGGAUACGACCACCUUAGACAUCUUUUGUGGUGGAAAGAAUUUCGGCUAGGGAUGAGCUCGCGGCCUAUCAGCUUGUUGGUGGGGUAACGGCCUACCAAGGCGACGACGGGUAGCCGGCCUGAGAGGGCGACCGGCCACACUGGGACUGAGACACGGCCCAGACUCCUACGGGAGGCAGCAGUGGGAAUAUGCGCAAUGGGCGAAAGCCUGACGCAGCGACGCCGCGUGGGGGAUGAAGGCCUUCGGGUUGUAAACCCUUUCAGCAGGGACGAAGCGAAAGUGACGGUACCUGCAGAAGAAGCGCCGGCUAACUACGUGCCAGCAGCCGC
rnacentral:rRNA from 1 species